rnacentral:rRNA from 1 species
AAUGAACGCUGGCGGCACGCUUAACACAUGCAAGUCGAACGAGAUCUUCGGAUCUAGUGGCAGACGGGUGAGUAACGCGUGGGAACCUGCCCUUUAGUAGAGAAUAACUCGGGGAAACUCGAGCUAAUACUUUAUACGCCCUUCGGGGGAAAGCUUUAUGCGCUAUUGGAUGGGCCCGCGUUAGAUUAGUUUGUUGGUGAGGUAACGGCUCACCAAGGCUACGAUCUAUAGCUGGUCUGAGAGGAUGAUCAGCCACACUGGGACUGAGACACGGCCCAGACUCCUACGGGAGGCAGCAGUGGGGAAUAUUGGACAAUGGGGGCAACCCUGAUCCAGCGAUGCCGCGUGAGUGAUGAAGGCCCUAGGGUUGUAAAGCUCUUUUGUCAGGGAAGAUAAUGACGGUACCUGAAGAAUAAGAUCCGGCUAACUCCGUGCCAGCAGCCGCGGUAAUACGGAGGGAUCUAGCGUUAUUCGGAAUUACUGGGCGUAAAGCGAGCGUAGGCUGAUUUGUAAGUUGGAUGUGAAAUCCCAGAGCUUAACUCUGGAACUGCAUCCAAAACUAUAUUUCUUGAGUUUGGUAGAGGAGAGUGGAAUUCCUAGUGUAGAGGUGAAAUUCGUAGAUAUUAGGAGGAACACCAGUGGCGAAGGCGACUCUCUGGGCCAAUACUGACGCUGAGGUUCGAAAGCGUGGGUAGCGAACAGGAUUAGAUACCCUGGUAGUCCACGCAGUAAACGAUGAAUGCUAGAUGUUGGAAACAUUAGUUUUCAGUAUCGCAGCUAACGCAUUAAGCAUUCCGCCUGGGAAGUACGGCCGCAAGGCUA